AGUCAGGCUCAUGGGCCAGUCAGGAGACCUCAUUUACCCUUCCCAGUUCUUUGUAGUUCCACCAUCAGCAUCAGCAGAAGUUUCAGGGAACAUGUUUGGAGACAGAAAAACAAUCCUCAAUCGGGAGAUGAAAAAUUCUAUGACCAUGUAACUGAGCACAUCUCCCAUGAACAACAAGGAACACUUAAGAAGCCAUACCCAGCAACUUCCCUCAGUCUGAUAUCACCAAGUCCUUUGGAGCCAUCAGCUGUUGCACAAGGUAUAAGAGACCAGAGAGUAAUUAGUCCACUCCCUGAAGGAACAAUUAGGAAGAAGGAUCCAUGUUUCUCAGGCCUUGAAGGCAGCUCUUGUAAAAAGCACCAAUCAUAUGGAGGGGGAGAUACGCCACAGCUCUUGCCACAAGAGAAUAAAAUACUUGGAUUGUCGAAUGUUGACCUCGAAGUCCUGAAAAUUCUUGAAGUAUCUACUGAAUCAUGGAAGCACAAUGGAAGAGAAAAAGAGAAAGAUAGCUGUUAACUCUUCUUCUAGAACUCAACACCUACUGCCUUUUAUUUUAUCCAUCAAAAUAUGAAGAAAGAGGAAAAGAAACACAGGAGAUAAAUUUAUAAAGGGAGUUCAAUUUCUUAAUUUUAGCUCCCAUUUUGCACAAUGAUGUUAAAAGUCCAUACACUUCAAAUUAAUAGAGAUUUAAUACACCCAAAUACCAAGGGAAUAUAAUCAUUUUUGCCACUGUCUGAAUAAUUAUUUUAUAAUAUAGUGUGUGUGUGCGUGUGUGUGUGUGUGUGUGUGUGUGUGUGUGUGAACUAGAAAGUAAAAUGGAAUCUAGUAUGUUGAAUAAAAUAUAUACUCUUGUGAGGAAAUAAAGCCA
rnacentral:lncRNA from 1 species